AUUUUUUUACAUAGAUUUAGGAAGAUGUGGUGUGAGUGCCAAUGAGACAACUCUCCAUCUAAAUAACAAUUUAUAAAAGUAAACCAUUAUAGGUUAAUGUACGGCCUUCAACAUGGAGCUUUGGCUCACACCGAACAACAAGCUAUAAAGGGCCCCAAAAUUACAAGUGUAAAACCAUUCAAACGGGAAAACCAACGGUCUAAUCUAUAUAAAAAAACGAGAAACGAGUAACACGU
rnacentral:lncRNA from 1 species